GGGUCAGCAGGUUGGUCGUGCCUUCGGUAUGCACUGGCCUUGCUGAUUCCUCCCUCUUGAUGAGCCGUAAUGUCAUUAAUUUGGUGUUGCGGGGAAUCAGGACUGUUACUUUGAAAAAAUUAGAGUGUUUAAAGCAGGCAAGCGCUUGAAUACAUUAGCAUGGAAUAAUAGAAUAGGACU
rnacentral:rRNA from 1 species